UGCCAGAGCCUGUUCCUGCGGGGGCUGUCGCUGGUGGGGUGGUACCACAGCCACCCCUUCGGGCCGGCGCUGCCCUCGCUGCACGACAUCGACGCGCAGAUGGAUUAUCAGCUCAAGCUGCAGGGCAGCGGCAACGGCUUCCAGCCCUGCCUGGGGCUCAUCUGCGGGCCCUACUUCCACGGCAACCCCGGCGUGGAGUCCCGGAUCGCUCCCUUCUGGGUGAUGCCGCCGCCCGAGCAACGGCCCAACGACUACGGCAUCCCCAUGGAGGUGGAGGUGACCUACAUCCCGGACGGGUUCCUCACCAACGACGUGGUGCAGGAGAUG